rnacentral:tRNA from 1 species
GCCUCGGUAGCUCAGUUGGUAGAGCAAAGGACUGAAAAUCCCUGUGUCCGCAGUUCGAUUCUGCGCUGAGGCACCA